AGAGUUUGAUCAUGGCUCAGAUUGAACGCUGGCGGCAUGCCUUACACAUGCAAGUCGAACGGCAGCACGGAGCUUGCUCUGGUGGCGAGUGGCGAACGGGUGAGUAAUAUAUCGGAACGUACCCUGGAGUGGGGGAUAACGUAGCGAAAGUUACGCUAAUACCGCAUACGAUCUACGGAUGAAAGUGGGGGAUCGCAAGACCUCAUGCUCGUGGAGCGGCCGAUAUCUGAUUAGCUAGUUGGUAGGGUAAAAGCCUACCAAGGCAUCGAUCAGUAGCUGGUCUGAGAGGACGACCAGCCACACUGGAACYGAGACACGGUCCAGACUCCUACGGGAGGCAGCAGUGGGGAAUUUUGGACAAUGGGCGAAAGCCUGAUCCAGCAAUGCCGCGUGAGUGAAGAAGGCCUUCGGGUUGUAAAGCUCUUUUGUCAGGGAAGAAACGGUGAGRGCUAAUAUCUYUUGCUAAUGACGGUACCUGAAGAAUAAGCACCGGCUAACUACGUGCCAGCAGCCGCGGUAAUACGUAGGGUGCAAGCGUUAAUCGGAAUUACUGGGCGUAAAGCGUGCGCAGGCGGUUUUGUAAGUCUGAUGUGAAAUCCCCGGGCUCAACCUGGGAAUUGCAUUGGAGACUGCAAGGCUAGAAUCUGGCAGAGGGGGGUAGAAUUCCACGUGUAGCAGUGAAAUGCRUAGAUAUGYKRMRGAACACCRAUKGCGRAGGCAGCYCMCURRGUYAWRAYUGACGCUCAUGCACGAAAGCGUGGGGAKCAAACAGGAUUAGAUACCCUGGUAGUCC
rnacentral:rRNA from 1 species